rnacentral:lncRNA from 1 species
CACAGCUAGGAAGUGUCUGAGAGAGGGUUUAAACUCAGGUCUUCCUGACUCCAGGCUCACAGCUGUACCUGCUGCACUACCUAGGGUAUGGCACAUGGGCUGAGCCUUGAAGUGGGCUAAGCAUUCUGAGAUGCAGAGGUGAGAGUGUAUUCCAGGUGUUAGAGACAGCUCGUGCACAGCCACAGUAUGGGAGAGGCUGUUGAGUUCAGGGAAGCCAGCACCAGGAGCUGUCCAGUUUGUCAUGUUUGUGUUGCUGCUCUUCAGACAGAACAUAAACUACAACUCAAACUCUCAGCUAAAUCAUGGCCAGGACCCUGGAGAAAUGUGGGAAGGAAAGCAUGGACUGCAUAAGCGACCUCAUUUGAUGUACAUAGAAGUGCUGCUUCUGAAUUGAUUUUCAUGGUAACCGGGAGUACGAAGAGGUUGAAAGGAAGUCCUUCACUAAGACCUGGCAGACACCCUCCACCUGACAGGAGUAACAAUCCCACCUAGAAGAAAAUCAUGGCAGAGAUGACAAAGCAGUGAGGACCCCAGCUCAGCUUUUUAAAAAAAGACCAGAACACCAGCUAUUCUGCAGCAGAAGAGGCAUAAGUUGUCCCAGAUACAUGUGAACUUUGAUCACAUGUGUUUUUAACAUGCAUGCCCCGUUCUUUGUAUUUCCUGGUCAUGCAUGUUCCCCAAGGAUGUCUCCUAUUGUACUGGAAGUAUGGUAACUUAUGAGAGAAUGUAUCCCUGUGCAUAUAGGAGAAAGCUUUUUUUUUUAUCUUAUAUUAAAUUAUAUUUAAUACCAUACAAUGUUUUUUGUUUUUU